rnacentral:tRNA from 1 species
GUCUCGGUGGCUGAGUGGUUAAGCGCUUGGCCUUCAAACUUGGAGAUGCUGGGUUCAAAUCUCGGUGAAGACU